rnacentral:rRNA from 2 species
UUGUCGGGUAAGUUCCGACCUGCACGAAUGGCGUAAUGAUGGCCAGGCUGUCUCCACCCGAGACUCAGUGAAAUUGAACUCGCUGUGAAGAUGCAGUGUACCCGCGGCAAGACGGAAAGACCCCGUGAACCUUUACUAUAGCUUGACACUGAACAUUGAGCCUUGAUGUGUAGGAUAGGUGGGAGGCUUUGAAGUGUGGACGCCAGUCUGCAUGGAGCCGACCUUGAAAUACCACCCUUUAAUGUUUGAUGUUCUAACGUGGACCCGUAAUCCGGGUUGCGGACAGUGUCUGGUGGGUAGUUUGACUGGGGCGGUCUCCUCCUAAAGAGUAACGGAGGAGCACGAAGGUUGGCUAAUCCUGGUCGGACAUCAGGAGGUUAGUGCAAUGGCAUAAGCCAGCUUGACUGCGAGCGUGACGGCGCGAGCAGGUGCGAAAGCAGGUCAUAGUGAUCCGGUGGUUCUGAAUGGAAGGGCCAUCGCUCAACGGAUAAAAGGUACUCCGGGGAUAACAGGCUGAUACCGCCCAAGAGUUCAUAUCGACGGCGGUGUUUGGCACCUCGAUGUCGGCUCAUCACAUCCUGGGGCUGAAGUAGGUCCCAAGGGUAUGGCUGUUCGCCAUUUAAAGUGGUACGCGAGCUGGGUUUAGAACGUCGUGAGACAGUUCGGUCCCUAUCUGCCGUGGGCGCUGGAGAACUGAGGGGGGCUGCUCCUAGUACGAGAGGACCGGAGUGGACGCAUCACUGGUGUUCGGGUUGUCAUGCCAAUGGCACUGCCCGGUAGCUAAAUGCGGAAGAGAUAAGUGCUGAAAGCAUCUAAGCACGAAACUUGCCCCGA